rnacentral:rRNA from 1 species
UGGGGAAUAUUGCACAAUGGGGGAAACCCUGAUGCAGCGACGCCGCGUGAACGAAGAAGGUAUUCGUAUCGUAAAGUUCUGUCCUAUGGGAAGAUAAUGACAGUACCAUAGAAGAAAGCUCCGGCUAAAUACGUGCCAGCAGCCGCGGUAAUACGUAUGGAGCGAGCAUUGUCCGGAAUUAUUGGGCGUAAAGGGUACGCAGGCGGUUUAAUAAGUCGAAUGUUAAAGAUCGGGGCUCAACCCCGCAAAGCAUUGGAAACUGAUAAACUUGAGUAGUGGAGAGGAAAGUGGAAUUCCUAGUGUAGUGGUGAAAUACGUAGAUAUUAGGAGGAAUACCAGUAGCGAAGGCGACUUUCUGGACACAAACUGACGCUGAGGUACGAAAGCGUGGGGAGCAAACAGG